rnacentral:rRNA from 1 species
CUUGUUCGAUUUUUAUAACAGGUCUUUUCUGCCCGGUGUUAAAUAAACGGCCGGGUAUCUUGACCGUGAAAGGUAGCAUAAUCAUUUGUCUUUUAAUUGAGGACUGGAAUGAAAGAAGUUUGAAGUUUUAGCUGUCUCUUUUUUGUUAUUAUAAUUUGCUGUUUUUGUGAAGAAGAAAAUUUCUGAAAAAGCAAAAAGACCCUAUUAAGCUUUAUCUUUUUGUUUUUUUUAUUCUUAUAAAAACAAAAAGAUUUGGUUGGGGUGACUAAAKAAGAUUAAUAUCUCUUUUUUAUCAAUGUGUUUAACAUUGACCCAAAAUUUUUUGGUUAAAAAAUUAGUUACUAUAGGGAUAACAGCGUAAUCUUUUCAUAAAAGUUCUAUUAGAAAAGGGUUGCGACCUCGAUGUUGACUUAUUUUAUCCUAUAAAGGUGUAGUAGCUGUAAGGGUUGGUCUGUUCGACCAUUAAAA